GACGAACGCUGGCGGCGUGCUUAACACAUGCAAGUCGAACGGAAAGGCCCCUUUGGGGGUACUCGAGUGGCGAACGGGUGAGUAACACGUGAGUAACCUGCCCUUGACUUCGGGAUAACUUCAGGAAACUGGGGCUAAUACCGGAUAGGAAUCCUUGCUGCAUGGUGGGGGUUGGAAAGCUUCGGCGGUUUUGGAUGGACUCGCGGCUUAUCAGCUUGUUGGUGGGGUAGUGGCUUACCAAGGCUUUGACGGGUAGCCGGCCUGAGAGGGCGACCGGCCACAUUGGGACUGAGAUACGGCCCAGACUCCUACGGGAGGCAGCGGUGGGGAAUAUUGCACAAUGGGCGGAAGCCUGAUGCAGCAACGCCGCGUGCGGGAUGACGGCCUUCGGGUUGUAAACCGCUUUCAGCAGGGGUGAAGCUUGUGGUGACGGUACCUGCAGAAGAAGCACCGGCUAACUACGUG
rnacentral:rRNA from 1 species